rnacentral:rRNA from 1 species
AUACGGAGGAUCCAAGCGUUAUCCGGAUUUAUUGGGUUUAAAGGGUGCGCAGGCGGCCUUAUAAGUCAGUGGUGAAAUCUCCCGGCUCAACCGGGAAACUGCCAUUGAUACUGUAAGGCUAGAAUACAGACGAGGUAGGCGGAAUGUAGCAUGUAGCGGUGAAAUGCUUAGAUAUGCUACAGAACACCAAUCGCGAAGGCAGCUUACCAGACUGUAAUUGACGCUAAGGCACGAAAGCGUGGGGAGCGAACAGGAUUAGAAACCCCAGUAGUCC